rnacentral:lncRNA from 1 species
AGGUAGGUUAGUCUUCGUAAACAGGUAGACCUUUUUGUCUCACAAAAAAAGUACACCCUUUCUCGUAAAUAAGUAGACCAGGCUUCGUAAACAGGUAGACCUCUCAAAAAUUCUUCAAGUGUCUGUGAAUUCUGGACACUUCAGAGUUAGUUUACGCGUAGUAUGAGUCAAUGGUUCGAACACCAUGUACACCAUUUUCACAAAUCAGGUAGGUUAGUCUUGUAAACAUGUAGACCUUUUUGUCUCACAAAAAAAGCAGACCCUUUCUCGUAAAUAAGCAUACUACCUUUCGGAGCUUCAGGCUAUUUUCUAUGAUUUAUCGAAGUUUUGGUAAAACAAUUAAAUUUUUCAAAAAAUUAGAAAAUAGCAGUUUUAGAUCAGUACCAUUGAUCUCGUUCUCUUUUAAUCCUAACCAUUGACUCCUUCUUUGAAAACCCAACCAAAGUCAACUGACCCAAGUCGGGUCAAGCACUCCGACGAGGGCUGAGAAGAACUCCGUGCCCGGCCGACUCCGGCCAAGAUUCUCCACAAAACCGCCACCAAAUUUCUUCUCUCUUUCCCCUCUACAUAACCUAGCCCGUGAAUCGCACAUACUGAUUCAAAGACAAAUCGAUGGCGAGAAGCUCCGAUUGUGUUCGUCUGUUUCCACCGACUCUGGCGACGACUUGGCCUGGAACUGACAUAUUCAAACUUUUCUCUUCAUUCUUUUCACCCUAGUGCCCUUAAUCCCUUGAAUCUUUUAAAAAUCUUGAUAAUACCUUUACUGCUGAUAUUCAGUUUUCCGGCGAGCUAUUGCGGUGGAUGCCGACGAGGCUUUCUGGCGUCCUCUACUUCUUCUGAUGACCUGAGUCGACUUCAGAGGUGCUAGGCAAUGGUAAGUGACUUUGUAGCUGUUGAGCAGGGUUGUUGUGUUUUCCGGCUUGUUUUUGAGAGGGAGAGAGAGAGAGAGAGAGAGAGAGAGAGAGAGAGAGAGAGAGAGAGAGAGAGAGAAGUA